rnacentral:rRNA from 1 species
GACGAACGCUGGCGGCGUGCUUAACACAUGCAAGUCGAACGGAAAGGCCCUGCUUUUGUGGGGUGCUCGAGUGGCGAACGGGGGAGUAACACGUGAGUAACCUGCCCUUGAAUUUGGGAUAACUUCAGGAAACUGGGGCUAAUACCGGAUAGGAGCUCCUGCUGCGUGGUGGGGGUUGGAAAGUUUCGGCGGUUGGGGAUGGACUCGCGGCUUACCAGCUUGUUGGUGGGGUAGUGGCUUACCAAGGCUUUGACGGGUAGCCGGCCUGAGAGGGUGACCGGCCACCAUGGGCCUGCGGUAGGGCCCAGACUCCUACGGGCGGCAGCAGUGGGGAAUAUUGCACAGUGGGCGCGAGCCUGUUGCGGCAACGCCGCGUGCGGGAUGACGGCCUUCGGGUUGUAAACCGCUUUCGCCUGUGACGAAGCGUUAGUGACGGUAAUGGGUAAAGAAGCACCGGCUAACUACGUG